CGGAGGCUUCGGCCCUCGUGCCUCCCCAGAGGCCCGUGCACACCUCUCUCGGCGUCCACAAUGCGGUGUGAGGGGCCGUGUACCCGCAGUCUCUCUAUCGAAGGGCACUGUGUUCGGCUUCAGAAAUGCCGUGUGGUGGUGGACAAGACAGACCUGUUCUCCAGGCAAGUGCAUCCUGCACGUUUGGGGAAGACAAAUAUUUAAAUAAUCGCGAGCAAGCACAGGGCUUCGGGAGAGCCGUGCACGCAGUGGAACAGCAGCAGCUCUGGACCUCCUGUGGACACGCCGGAGAAGCCUUUUGCUAAGGAAGUGGUGUUUAUUUAAGUCGAAACCUGGGAGUCAGCAAGGAAAAAAAAAAGGAAGAGUUCCAGGUAGAGAAACCCGCCUGGGUGGGUGACUUUGGGCCCGUUAUUUAGCUUCUCUGGGCAUCUGCUUUCUCAUUCGUAACAGGGCAGUAGGGUGACUGCCUCCUCGGAUUGCACUGCGCACAAAUGCGGUUUCAAGCCCUCGUCUUCGGAGGCCUCUUUCUGCUGGGAAGCGCAGUCAGGUCCCAGAGCCCCAUUCCCGGGUCCCGUUUGCUUGUCGAGUUGCCGGGUAUGACGAUCCACUCACCGUGCCUCUCCUGGUAGCGGGCCCUUGCCCUGUCCCAAAGCCCUGCUCGUGUUUUGAUGACGAGAGCAGGGUGUUCGCUUUUGCUUCCCUGUUCGUUUGUUUGACGUGUGCAGACCCAGCUGUGCCUCUCGUCGCCUGCCCAGCUCCGGCUGUGCCAAAGCUUUGCGGUCCCUGCGUGUUACAGGUUGGAGUCUUUCGCCUUUGAGGAACAGAGACGCCAACUCAGUGACUUAAACAGGCGGGAUUUCAGAUAAUAGGACGUCUGCAAGGCUGGUUGAUGCAGCAGCUCGGGACCCAAGUUCAUUUUAUGUUCCUGCCCUGCCAUGCUCAGAACAUCGGCUUGUCCCCGCUGGCGCCCCCGGUCUCAGGUGGUCUGCUGCCGUCCCGCGUGUCACAGAUAGCUGCCAGAAUCCCCAGCCGAGGAAGAGCGGCUGCCUCUUUCCUUGUCUCUCUCUUCAUCGGUGGCCUUUUGGGUCGUUUCCACCUUUUGGCUCUUGUGAGUAAGGCUGGUAGGAGAAAGGAAACCGUGCCAGCUUCAUUCAGCCUGCCCGCUCGAGAGGGUGGCGGUGGCCUGUUGGGGGAAAGCACCAGAAGUGGGAGUGAGAGUUCCUCGUUCAGGCUUUACUUUGCCCUUGACUGCUAGGAAUCAAGGUGUUUCCUUCUGAAACACGUUCGUGAGUCACCAUGGGGUUUCCAGCAGAGCACUGCCUGGAACCAGACUCACACCAGACAGGCGGGUCAUCCCCGAACAAGCCCAUCCCAGCGGAACCAGAAAACUGGGCCUUGCCUUCCUUAAUUGGAGCCUGACUUAGAGUCAGAUAUUGAACUGCAAAGAAAGUAUUAGCCAUUCAGCAAAAGAAUUUAAAUUACGGGUCUGUCCAUAUUUAGCGUUUCUUGCAAUCAUUUCCACUGUAUGUAACACUGAAAUCCUUUGUGGUUGUCUGCUGCAGAAAUGAAUCUUUGACCCGGCAACUUUAAAUGUGCUUGACACCCCUGGGACUUUUGAGGAUGCUUAAUUUAAUCUGGGCCGGUCUAGAGGCGGGGGCCGGGGUGAGGGAGAGUGCUCUCCUUUCGUGUGGAAGGUUAUGCAGCUUGUCAGCAGAGGCCCGUGCUCCUGGAACUCCUGUUACUAGGCAGUAGUUACAGGCACAGGAAGUAUCGUAUUCUAACUUGUGUUUCAGGAGGCAGUAGGGAACCAGCCAAGCGCAGAGAGGAGUGGAGGUGACCGGCAAGGAGGGCCCUGCAGCGCUGCAGGUGCUGAGGGUUUUAUCAAAGUAGGGGAGAAGGAGAGGCUGCAGUGUUCUGCUGGGGGCUCUGACUUCCUCUGCAUGGCUCGCUGACCACAUGCCUCUCCAGCAGCCACUGGGGGGUAGGGGCUAUAAAUUGCCCCUCUCCUUCCGCAUCUCAUGGGUUAUCUCUUUAGUUUAACUGAUUCUUAUUUGUCUCUUGUGCUAACUUCGUUCUUGUCAAGCAGGGACUUGUCCUGCCAAAGAGAGCAGGAAGGUCACUUGACCGGGCCCUCUGGUUCCUUGUCUAGACAGCGUCCUCGGCCCUGUCCCUCAGGGACUCAGCUUGUUUAGACUCAUGAACCUCCCUGAAGGGAAGGAGGAGGCAUUAGAGACACACGGAACUCAGCCACCGUCUCUGAAUGACAGUGAAUUUUGAGCUCUCAUUGUAACUUUCCACUGAUCUGCUGUGCGUGUCUCUUCUCUGAGCCUCGUCCUCUGGUUGGUAGCGUGCAGAUGUGCUGACCCUGGAGGAAGCUCGUGAAGAACUCAUGAGAGAGGCCGGACCUCUGCAAGGGUAGAGCAGAGUCUUUCCAAGGGUCACUGCUGACCGAGUGCCACUGGAGGGGGUCGAGGAGGGGCGUGAGGCUGCACGGCCUCCCUCUGGGGGCUAAACGUAGCUCCUCGCGAGGAGCUGAGACGCGCAUAGGGCAGCGCGUGUGCGGCGCGUGGCUUCAGGGCAGCGGUAGGUGGGUGUGAUGGAUGGACUCACGGGGUCCUCAAAGGCCACGCUUCCCCUGUAGGGACGCUGUGGUCCAGAAUCGCUCUGUUAAAUGGGGGUCGGUGCCCUCAUUUACACUCUUUUAGAUUAAGUGACUCUUAUUUGCUGUCAUAGAUACUCUUCAGUUAUUUGAGAAAAAGGCUGUGUUUUUCAAAGAGACGAAGAGAAUGUGGGACAUGGUAGGUGUCUCCUGAUAGAGGUCCACAAGCCACCUGUAAAGUAGCCUUGCAGGCUCGAACAGAACCUGAGUUUGUUUAAAAAACAAAAACAAAAAACACCUCUAGACCUUACUAUGGAUUUAGAGGGAAUCCGAGGGACAGAAACACAGUAAAUGUUUUUUUAGGGAUGCAGUCAGUAAAUUCCAAACUACUUUAUGGGACAAACUAGUUUCUUCAACAAAUAAAUAAUAAGGGGGAGGGGAGGAUGGAGAGGCCUCCUGUAGAUUAAAAAGAGACUUGAGAUGAAUGAACCAAUAGAAAUAUGUGGAUCUGAUUCAAACAAAAACAAUGCAGGGGAAAAUGUGGAUACUGGCUGAUUAUUUUAUGGUAUUAGGAAGCUUAUCGGGAGUUCCCUUUGUGGCUUAGUGGUAACAAACCCGACUAGUAUCCAUGAGGAUGCAGGUUGGAUCCCUGGCCCUGCUCAGUGGGUUCAGGAUCCGGCCCUGCCACGAGCUAUGGUGUAGGUUGCAGACAUGGCUCAUAUCCCACCUUGCUGUGGCUGUGGCAUGGGCUGGCAGCUGCACCUCUGAUUUGACCCCUAGCCUGGGAACUUCCAUAUGC
rnacentral:lncRNA from 1 species